rnacentral:rRNA from 1 species
UACGGAAGGAGCAGUGGGGAAUAUUGCACAAUGGGCGCAAGCCUGAUGCAGCCAUGCCGCGUGUAUGAAAAAGGCCUUCGGGUUGUAAAGUACUUUCAGUCGUGAGGAAGGUGUUAAGGUUAAUAACCUUAGCAAUUGACGUUAGCGACAGAAGAAGCACCGGCUAACUCCGUGCCAGCAGCCGCGGUAAUACGGAGGGUGCGAGCGUUAAUCGGAAUUACUGGGCGUAAAGGGCACGCAGGCGGUUAAUUAAGUUGGAUGUGAAAUCCCCGGGCUUAACCUGGGAAUGGCAUUCAAGACUGGUUAGCUAGAGUCUUGUAGAGGGGGUAGAAUUCCAUGUGUAGCGGUGAAAUGCGUAGAGAUGUGGAGGAAUACCGGUGGCGAAGGCGGCCCCUGGACAAAGACUGACGCUCAUGUGCGAAAGCGUGGGGAGCAAACAGGGAUUAGAUACC